rnacentral:rRNA from 1 species
AGUGAACGCUGGCGGUAGGCCUAACACAUGCAGGUCGAACGGCAGCACAGUAAGAGCUUGCUCUUACGGGUGGCGAGUGGCGGACGGGUGAGGAAUACAUCGGAAUCUACUUUUUCGUGGGGGAUAACGUAGGGAAACUUACGCUAAUACCGCAUACGACCUACGGGUGAAAGCAGGGGAUCUUCGGACCUUGCGCGAUUGAAUGAGCCGAUGUCGGAUUAGCUAGUUGGCGGGGUAAAGGCCCACCAAGGCGACGAUCCGUAGCUGGUCUGAGAGGAUGAUCAGCCACACUGGAACUGAGACACGGUCCAGACUCCUACGGGAGGCAGCAGUGGGAAUAUUGGACAAUGGGCGCAAGCCUGAUCCAGCCAUACCGCGUGGGUGAAGAAGGCCUUCGGGUUGUAAAGCCCUUUUGUUGGGAAAGAAAAGCAGCAGGUUAAUACCCCGCUGUUCUGACGGUACCCAAAGAAUAAGCACCGGCUAACUUCGUG